rnacentral:rRNA from 1 species
UACGUAGGGGGCGAGCGUUGUCCGGAGUACUGGGCGUAAAGCGCACGCAGGCGGUCUGCUAAGUUUGGAGUGACAGUUGGUGGCUUAACUGCCAAAGUGCUUCGAAAACUGACAGACUUGAGGGCUUCAGAGGGACACGGAAUUCCAGGUGGAGUGGUGAAAUGCGUAGAGAUCUGGAAGAACACCAAAGGCGAAGGCAGCAUCCUGGGAAGUUCCUGACGCUCGGGUGCGAAAGCCAGGGGAGCGAACGGG